rnacentral:tRNA from 1 species
GUUUUUAUAAUUUAAUAGAAAAUAUUGGUCUUGUAAACCAAAAAUAAGAGUAACUUUAAAAACA